ACACACGUCAUCACACACUCCCGCUCUUUCUUCAUUCAUCUCUUUUACUCCCUCUCCACAAUCCCCUCCUUUUCAUUCUCCAUUCGUUCUACAGGAAAAGAAGAAGAACAGGGCAAGAAAUAGGUUUUUAUUGUGCUUCAUGUUCAUUUCCGACAGACCAAGGAGAAGACUCCAGAAUCUCAGAGAUCGUUGUGAUAACCACGUCUCUCUCCGUCGUGUCGCGAGCGGAAACGCAACACAACCACAGAACACGCUGUCAGUCCAGUCUCUGUUUCCUGUUUAUGCAGAAUGCACACUGUCCAAUGGCGAGUCGCUCCUCCUCCACUUCUCCUUCUUCUUCUCUUGUCAUCCUUUACACAAUGUUUCUACUUUUUGUCUCCCAGCGGUAUCCAUGGACACCAAGGGUUGCUACAAAAAAAAUCAUUAUUUUUAAAAAAAAGCAACACAAAAAGGCAAUCUAACCAACAAACGGAUUAGUUUACUACAGACAUUUAGAUAACUGUUAUUUAAAGAAACAGCUUUGUGUGAGGCUUUAAGAAGAAUCUUCGUGUAGCAUUUAGAAAAAUAUGGUCGAGAAAACCAUCCAAAGAUGAAGUGAAAACUUCAAAUUGUCAUUACACACCAAGAAAAUAAAAAUAGAAACUGUAUAAGGCUGUUUAGUUAACAGGGCUAAAUGAUUUAAGCAAGUAUAAGCAGUCAGUCAAUCAAUCAAUAAAUACAUCAUGAUCAUAACCCAAGGUGUCAAUAUCAAUCAAUCAUGAUCAUAUCAUAAGGUGUCAAUAUCAAUCAAUUAUGAUCAAAUCAUAAGAUAUCAAUAUCAAUCAACAAUACAUCAUGAUCAGAUCAUAUAAGGUGUCAAUAUCAAUCAACCAAUCAUGAUCAGAUCCCUAUACAGUGUAUCAGAGAGAAAUCAUAAGAGAUAAAUAGGGGGAGAGAGAAACAGAUGGAGAAGAAGAGAGAAAGAAAAAGACAGAGAGGAAGAGAGAGAGAAACAGAUAGUGGAAGAGAGAGAGAAACAGACAGAGAGGAAGAGAGAGAGAAACAGACAGAGGAAGAGAGAGAAACAGACAGAGAGGAAGAGAGAGAGAAACAGACAGAGAGGAAGAGAGAGAGAAACAGACAGAGAGGAAGAGAGAGAGAAACAGACAGAGAGGAAGAGAGAGAGAAACAGACAGAGAGGAAGAGAGAGAGAAACAGAGAGAGAGGAAGAGAGAGAGAAACAGAUAAAGGAAGAGAGAGACAGAAACAGAUAGAGAGGAAGAGAGAGAGAAACAGACAGAGAGGAAGAGAGAGACAGAAACAGACAGAGAGGAAGAGAGAGAGAAACAGACAGAGAGGAAGAGAGAGAGAGUGAAAGAGAGAGAAUUACAAAACCUUAGCGGUCAGCAGGAUCAGUAUCAGCUGCCGUUUACUUUUCAUUAUGUAAAGAAGUACAUUCAUCUCCUGUAGUAGAUCUGUAGAUAUGGAUAUGCCCCAUAUGGCACCCCGUUCCCUAUAUAGUGCACAUGAUUUCACUUCCUGUGUCCCAGUAUCCAUGGAAACCAGGAGCUGUAUCCGUGGAAACCGAGGGCUGCUACAAAAAUGGUAAAAUAAAAAAAAAAAGCAGCAACCAAACCAACAAAUGAAAAGGUUGUUGUGACUAUAUAGGAAACAGGCUGUCAUCUGAGACCCAGACAGGGUACAUGGGGACAGACUGGGCUAGAAGGACGUCUGGGAACUUUUGCUACCACAGCACUUUGGUCAUAGAAUGAUUUGGGUUGAGGUAUGGGGAGAUUCGAUGACAGUCGGCCGGUCGGUCCGUAUUGUGCCGUUUGAGUUGUGAUUUGGCAAACUAGAACUCAACUGAGGAAGGGGACUGGGAGGGAGGAACUACAGGGAUUGGGGGAGGGACAAGGAAGGGACAGAGAGAGGAAUUGUGGGUAAAAAAAAAGAAUCUGUGAGUUGUAGGCUACAGUGUUUUCAGGGAGGGUGUUUUUAGAGUUAAGAGACGUUUUCUGAUUUUGAACAGUGCAGUAAUCAUCCACGUUAGGGACUUGAAGACAUUCAUUAGAGAUUGGUAGGAUUUCAAAAUCAAAAACGUACUGCAGGUUAGGUCAGUUUGGAGCUGGUCUCUCAAAGUCUCAAAGAAGGUUUUCAAAUCCCCUCAGUAGAAACAAACUAACUAGCUAACUAACUAACAAGACAUAUUUUUAUGCAAAUAUAGAGCUUUUUCUCUUUCUUCUGAACAAGAUCAUCCCCCCUUCUUGUAGUUUCACAAUAAAAGUCCCCUCUGUAAUAUGUCAAGGAAGGUUUCAGAAUAAGAGUCUGUUAGUGGAGGAAAAUAGUGUUCCUUAAGGAAGAGAGAAAGAGUCCUCUGGUAAAAAGAAGAGAUAAAAAAUGUCUGUCUUCGUCGAGGUUGUUCAGAGGCGGACAUUUUAUAAUAAGGUUGUGCGACGGCCAUUUUGAGUUCCUUCUUUCUCGAAAGUCACAACAAUAGUCACUGUCACAGGACGUAGCCAUGCGAUAUUCAAAUAAUAGUACUGAUAAUAUUAAUAACAAUAAUAAUAGUAAGAAUCACAUCUUAUUCUAACUUGUUUAAUAUAUAUAAAAGAGUGAUGAGGCCGGAGAGAGGUUUAUACAGUGUUCUACGGUUCUCUUCGGUGCUGCGUCCCAAAUCACACUCUAUUCCCUAUGCAGUGCACCACUUUCUAGGGAAGAAGGUGCUAUUUGAGACCCUUGUUGAUUUGGCACACACACUAGCGUACUCACACUCGUGAGACUACUAGUCCAUAUAAUAUCUUGUGUUGUGGUUUUUUGUGUUCAUCCAAAACCUAGUUUUAGUAGAAACAGCUACAUAGAAGUCUGGGAGAAAUAGUUAUAAUAAUAAUAAUAAUUAUAAUAAUAAUAAUAUCUCUUAAUCUUCUGUUAAAAAAUAAUGUAUUUUUAAUCAAGAUCUUCAUUCGUUGUUUUUAAAUCGUAUUAAUUUCAUUUUGGUCCAUGUUUUUAAAAGCAGAGAGGCGUGUGUGUGUGUGUGUGUGUGUGUGUGUGUGUGUGUGUGUGUGUGUGU
rnacentral:lncRNA from 8 species